rnacentral:pre_miRNA from 1 species
GGCCCAAAUUCCAAGUGGAGUAGAUUAGUAGUGUCAGGUGACUCUAUUUAACUAUUCUAUUUCAAGUUUGUGCCC